rnacentral:rRNA from 1 species
CACGUAGGGUGCGAGCGUUGUCCGGAAUUAUUGGGCGUAAAGAGCUCGUAGGCGGCUUGUCGCGUCGAAUGUGAAAACUUGGGGCUCAACUCCAAGCUUGCGAUUCGAUACGGGCAGGCUAGAGUUCGGUAGGGGAGGACUGGAAUUCCUGGUGUAGCGGUGAAAUGCGCAGAUAUCAGGAGGAACACCGGUGGCGAAGGCGGGUCUCUGGGCCGAUACUGACGCUGAGGAGCGAAAGCGUGGGGAGGCGAAACAGG